rnacentral:rRNA from 1 species
UACACUCCUGCGGGAGGCAGCAGUGGGGAAUUUUGGACAAUGGGCGAAAGCCUGAUCCAGCAAUGCCGCGUGAGUGAAGAAGGCCUUCGGGUUGUAAAGCUCUUUUGUCAGGGAAGAAACGGUGAGAGCUAAUAUCUUUUGCUAAUGACGGUACCUGAAGAAUAAGCACCGGCUAACUACGUGCCAGCAGCCGCGGUAAUACGUAGGGUGCAAGCGUUAAUCGGAAUUACUGGGCGUAAAGCGUGCGCAGGCGGUUUUGUAAGUCUGAUGUGAAAUCCCCGGGCUCAACCUGGGAAUUGCAUUGGAGACUGCAAGGCUAGAAUCUGGCAGAGGGGGGUAGAAUUCCACGUGUAGCAGUGAAAUGCGUAGAUAUGUGGAGGAACACCGAUGGCGAAGGCAGCCCCCUGGGUCAAGAUUGACGCUCAUGCACGAAAGCGUGGGGAGCAAACAGGAUUAGAAACCCCAGUAGUCCCAU